CUCGUAGUUGGAUUUCUGUGGGGACGGAGCGGCCGGCCGCAACUUGCGGUUCGAGCUAGCGCUUUCCCUACAUCCUGCCGCGAACCGUGCUACCAUUAGUUUGGUGGCGCCGGGGAUCGGCUCGUUUACUUUGAGAAAAAUAGAGUGUUCAAAGCAGGCCACACGCCUUGAAUAAGUUAGCAUGGAAUAAUAAUAAAGGACUUCGGUUCUAUUUUGUUGGUGUUCGGGACUGAAGUAAUGAUUGAUAGGGACAGUUGGGGCGGUCAGUAUUCCAAAGCGAGAGGUGAAAUUCUUAGACCUUCGGAAGACUAACAGCUGCGAAAGCGUUCCGCAAGGAUGUUCCCUUUGAUCAAGAACGAAAGUUGGGGGAUCGAAGACGAUCAGAUACCGUCGUAGUCUCAACUAUAAACUAUACCAGCUAGGGAUCGGCCAACGUUAAAUUAUUCGACUUGGUCGGUACCUUAUGAGAAAUCAAAGCAUCUGGGUUCCGGGGGGAGUAUGGUCGCAAGGCUGAAACUUAAAGGAAUUGACGGAAGGGCACCACCAGCCGUGGAGCCUGUGGCUUAAUUUGACUCAACACGGGAAAACUUACCAGGUCCAGACAUAGUAAGGAUUGACAGAUUGAUAGCUCUUUCUUGAUUCUGUGGGUGGUGGUGCAUGGCCGUUCUUAGUUGGUGGAGUGAUUUGUCUGGUUAAUUCCGUUAACGAACGAGACCCCAGCCUGCUAAAUAGCGUGGUUGAGCUUUGCUCGGCGCAAGCUUCUUAGAGGGACUAUGAUGCGCGAUAGCACAUGGAAGUUUGGGGCAAUAACAGGUCUGUGAUGCCCUUAGAUGUUCUGGGCCGCACACGGGCUACACUGGCGCCUGCAACGAGCAUAUCAGCUGGCCCGAGAGGGUCUUGGCUAAUCUUUUGAACCGGCGCCGUGCUUGGGAUUGACCAUUGCAAUUGUUGGUCAUGCAACGAGGAAUGCCUUGUAAACGCGAGUCAUCAACUCGCAUUGAAUACGUCCCUGCCCUUUGUACACACGCCCGUCGCUCUACCGAUGAUGUUCCGAUGAAAUUUUCGGA
rnacentral:rRNA from 1 species